AUGCAGCUCAUCGAGCUCUUCUCCUGCACAUACAGUUUAAGCUUCAAUUCAAAUCAGCUUCAGAAGCUGCAAGACAGAACAUGUUCAGUUCAGGUGUGCAGAGUACAUACAGGUGGAACCGGUCCUUUGGGAUCUUGUUCUGUGGAGGAGGAGGUGGAUUGCCCUGUCGGCGACGAAGCUCCAGCCGUGUGUCACCAGCCUGGGCAUGAUGGUGGUGCUCUUCUUGACCAACGCCGAGCUCCGCGCUGGCGAGGGCCGCUCCUUGACGGGCGUCUUCUCCUCGAAGUUGAGCGCGCUGGGCCUGACAACCUUGGGUGA
rnacentral:rRNA from 1 species